UCACACACUAGAGGUCCCCG
rnacentral:siRNA from 1 species